rnacentral:tRNA from 1 species
GGCGGAGUAGAGGUCCAACGGAACUCGACUGAAAGGAGAGGCGUUCCUCGGUUGCGGGUUCAGGUGCGGCUAAAU